rnacentral:rRNA from 1 species
AACAAACGCUGGCGGCGUGCCUAAUACAUGCAAGUCGAACGAAUGUAGCAAUACAUGAGUGGCGUACGGGUGAGUAACACGUGGAUAAUCUUCCUUUAAGUGGGGAAUAACCAAUCGAAAGAUUGGCUAAUACCGCAUAAGACCACAGUUUCUUCGGAGACAGGGGUUAAAGGCUUCGGCCGCUUUUAGAUGAGUCUGCGUCCGAUUAGCUAGUUGGUGAGGUAAUGGCUCACCAAGGCGACGAUCGGUAACUGGUCUGAGAGGAUGACCAGUCACACUGGGACUGAGACACGGCCCAGACUCCUACGGGAGGCAGCAGUAGGGAAUAUUGCACAAUGGAGGAAACUCUGAUGCAGCGACGCCGCGUGAGUGAUGAAGGCCUUCGGGUUGUAAAGCUCUGUUCUCAGGGAAUAAUAAAUUGAAGGUACCUGAGAAGAAAGGACCGGCUAACUUCGUGCCAGCCGCCGCGGUAA